rnacentral:rRNA from 1 species
CCUACGGGCGGCAGCAGUGAGGAAUAUUGGUCAAUGGGCGCGAGCCUGAACCAGCCAAGUAGCGUGAAGGAUGACUGCCCUACGGGUUGUAACCUUCUUUUAUAAGGGAAUAAAAUGAGGCACGUAUACCUUUUUGUAUGUACUUUAUGAAUAAGGAUCGGCUAACUCCGUUCCAGCAGCCGCGGUAAUACGGAGGAUCCGAGCGUUAUCCGGAUUUAUUGGGUUUAAAGGGAGCGUAGAUGGGUUGUUAAGUCAGUUGUGAAAGUUUGCGGCUCAACCGUAAAAUUGCAGUUGAUACUGGCAGUCUUGAGUACAGUAGAGGUAGGCGGAAUUCGUGGUGUAGCGGUGAAAUGCUUAGAUAUCACGAAGAACUCCGAUUGCGAAGGCAGCUUACUAAACUGCCACUGACAUUGAUGCUCGAAAGUGUGGGUAUCAAACAGGAUUAGAUACCCCUGUAGUC